GGCUUUGUAGUGUAGUGGUUAUCACUCGGGAUUUUGACUUGCUAAAGACUCUUUCCCGAAACCCAGGUUCGAACCCUGGCAAAGCCU
rnacentral:tRNA from 1 species